rnacentral:lncRNA from 1 species
ACCAUUCUUCAUUUCUUUUUUAUAAGUCCGACGAAGCCAUUGUCACCAUUGGUUGGCUUUGCCCUCUAGGUGGAAAGAAGAUAGCUGGACUUUCUACUCUUCGGGAAUUCCUUGAUACUCAAAAAAUUGCAUGACGCGAUUGAGCCAUUUGGUCAGGUCAUCUCCGGAGAAGAUAGGAAAUUCCAGCUUGGCGAGUUUGGAGAAGAAUAGUUGUCAGCCACCUUUAUUUCACUCAGCUCCUUCAUCGCAGUUCGGUUGUGUUCCUCCAUUUUGGUUUGGGGUGUUGCAACAUGAGCCUUCACGGUUGAUUAACAGAGUCUUUAUUAAUUGUUGGUAUCCUCCAUUUGGUGGAGUUCAUCAGCGACUCCAAGCUCCAUUCGGUUGAAGCUGUCCUGCAGUCCUCUGAGGCUUUCUUUCAAAUUCUCAAUCAUUUCUUUGUGAGACAUGACUCUGAUACCAAAAUUAUGGAUGACCAGAAUAACGCAAGAAUGAUUGCACGAAAGUUUCUAUUUUUGGGAUAGUAAAGCCCACACUUUUCUU